GUCUAUGGCCAUACCACUCUGAACAUACCCGAUCUCAUCUCAUCUCAGAAGCUAAGCAGGGUUAGGCCUGGUUAGUAUUUGGAUGGCAGAAGACAGUCACACAUUAUUAUUAACU
rnacentral:rRNA from 1 species